GGUGUAGCUCAGCGGUAGAGCAUGUGUUUAGUGUGUACAAAGUCCUGGAUUCAAUCUCCAGCAUC
rnacentral:tRNA from 1 species